AAUCUACCCUUUAGUUGGGACAACAUAUGGAAACGUAUGCUAAUACCGAAUAUGCUCUACGGAGUAAAGGUGCCCUCUCCUUGGAAGGUAUCGCUAAAGGAUGAGCCCGCGUUAGAUUAGCUAGUUGGUAGGGUAAAGGCCUACCAAGGCGACGAUCUAUAGCUGGUUUGAGAGGAUGAUCAGCCACACUGGGACUGAGACACGGCCCAGACUCCUACGGGAGGCAGCAGUGGGGAAUAUUGCACAAUGAGGGAAACCUUGAUGCAGCCAUGCCGCGUGUGUGAAGAAGGCCCGAGGGUUGUAAAGCACUUUCAAUUGUGAGGAAGAUUAAGUAGCUAAUAUCUGCUUAAUUUGACGUUAACUUUAGAAGAAGCACCGGCUAACUCCG
rnacentral:rRNA from 1 species